CGCCCGAAGCUUGCUAGGGCACGUUUGCCUGGGUGUCACACACGGCGUUGCCCCUAACCCCUCGCCUUGAAUUGGGCGGGCGGGACUUGGGUGCGUAUGUUGGCCUCCCGAGACGACUUCGUCCCGGUUGGUCCAAAAUCGAGCGUUGGAGCGAUCAGCACCACGACAUUCGGUGGUUGAUGAAACCCCAGUGAUCAAUGUCGCGCGUGUCGCUCAUGCAAUCGCUCCAUGAAUCUACUUUUCACCAACGCGACCCCAGGUCAAGCGGGGCUACCCGCUGAGUUUAAGCAUAUCAAUAAGCGGAGGAAAAGAAACUAACAAGGAUUCCCCUAGUAACGGCGAGCGAACCGGGAAGAGCCC
rnacentral:rRNA from 1 species